rnacentral:rRNA from 1 species
ACGAACGCUGGCGGCGUGCUUAACACAUGCAAGUCGAACGGUGAAGCGCCUUCCUUUUUGGUGGGUGUGGAUGAGUGGCGAACGGGUGAGUAACACGUGAGUAACCUGCCCCCUUCUUCUGGAUAACCGCAUGAAAGUGUGGCUAAUACGGGAUAUUCUGGGUCUGUCGCAUGAUGGGUCUGGGAAAGAUAUUGUUUCGGUGGGGGAUGGGCUCGCGGCCUAUCAGCUUGUUGGUGGGGUGAUGGCCUACCAAGGCGGUGACGGGUAGCCGGCCUGAGAGGGUGGGCGGUCACACUGGGACUGAGACACGGCCCAGACUCCUACGGGAGGCAGCAGUGGGGAAUAUUGCACAAUGGGCGCAAGCCUGAUGCAGCGACGCCGCGUGAGGGAUGGAGGCCUUCGGGUUGUGAACCUCUUUCGCCAGUGAAGCAGGCCUGCCUCGUUUGUGGGUGGGUUGACGGUAGCUGGAUAAGAAGCGCCGGCUAACUACGUG